rnacentral:lncRNA from 1 species
GUCUUCUUUUUAUUUUUUCAUUUUUGCCUAAGUCUAAGAAAUAUUCAGAGAGAGUCUGAGAAUUUCCAAGAAGAAUUAAGAUACUGUGAAAGAGAAUUGAGAGUGAGGAAACUAAGCCUACUAAUUAUAUUCUACAGGGUAAUCUCCUCCUUCCCAAAUUCUACUUUACGUAUUUAGUUUUCAUAAAAUGGGUUUCAUAGUUUUUGGCUUUCAAACCUCUGUUAUGUCUCUGUAAUUGAGAAAUUGUGCUAUUAUAUGGAUAUAUGUAAUAAUAAGAGUAGCAUAACAUGUUUUAUAUAUAUAUUGCAUGAUUCCAUAUCAUCAGUUUCAU